rnacentral:rRNA from 1 species
AUGGUCCCUGGGGAGUCAUGGUGGUUUGUUUCCUGCAAUAGACAUGGCAAAAAAAUCUCUGCCACAUGGAGAUGGCUGCUGCUGCACUGCAUGUGGAUACAGAGGAAAGAAGUUCAGGAUGGACAAGGGUGUCAUGUGUAUAUAUGUGAUAGCCGUGGUGUCCCUGACAUUUACGACGAAGAUGGAGCUAGCACGAUUGCUGCAUCAGAACCUUCAGUUGUCCUGGUACAAGCUACCUUUGCUUACAAUGCCGCAAUUAGAGAUUUUCUUGAUCAAUGGUAUGACACUGUAUGCAUCAGAACCUUUAGUUGUCAUGGUGCAUCUUGUGCAGCGAAGCUUUAG